CAACCAUGAUUUGGGACAGUCUGUUACAUAGCAGGAGAAAACAGAGCAGUGAGUCUUGUGCGGUGGUGUUUAACCCCCAGCUCUGACCCCUGUGGGAAACAAUGGGAUAAAAGAGCUGUUCUCUAAGGCCCCCCAUUCUGCUCCUCUCAGGUGGAUCCAGCCUGGCCCUUGGAGGCCUUCCCCUGAGUGCACGCUUCCUCCAGGAGCAGCUGCCCCUACUCAGUGGUCUCCAGCCCAGGUGCUGCCCCUAGAGGGGAGCCCCACAGACUGCCAUUCAAAGGACCUCAUUUGCUGAUUCAUUUGCAAGACUUUGAGAAGCAAGCUUGGUUUUGGGGUCUGGGGACAUAACCGUAAACAAGACUAGUCCUUCCCAGCUGCUUUCUAGCAGCAGAGACCCACAAGGAAAAGGAAACGAUAGGAUUUCAGAGCCUGUGAAGUGCUGUUAAGAAAAUAAAGAGACAAGGAAAACAAAGAUGGACUCUUCUGGAGGCCUGACAAAAGGUGAAGAUUUUUCCUUCCAGAAAUACACAGUCACACACAUGUGCGUGAUGUAGCACGUGGUUUGGAGGCAUGUAAUGUCCCUGAACUCUGUCUGUGAGACCUCUGGGCUCUGGAUUCCAGGAGGACGGGGAAAUCCGCCCCUUCCCACAGGUUCUGGGAGAAGCCAAUCAGGCAGUGAAUGGGACAGGAGGUGCAGGCCUCGGCUGGCCUCAGGAGGCUCGGGCCCUGCCUGUGGGCCACUCAUCCUGGCCGAGGAGAGGCAGAGACGGCCCUGGAGUGGAGCUUGUGGUUAAUUGCAGUAGGAGUCAGAGGGGCCGAAGGAGGGAGUGGGCCAGGCUGCAUGUGGCUCUCCGUGCUCCACCUGUGCGGCCUUCCCUCCUCACCAGGAGCCCCGGAUGGAGGAAUCGUCCCUAGCCCCACUUUUCGGAGAAGACUCAGAGGAGGCUCGAGGACAGCCGCAGAGCCCUAAGACUCAGCCCAGGCUCCAUUGGCCUGGGCCAGCUGAUUUGCAUGACAAGUGGAAGCCUCAGUCGCCCGCCCAGAUGAUUUCAAUGUCCUUCAUUUAUCCCCUCAUCCCUCUGGCAUCCAAUCCAGACGCAUGCGCCCUGGGCUCUGACAGGCAGGGCUGAGCUGCCGUCCUAGAGCAGCGGCCGAUCCUGCUGCCCCAGCUCGGCUUUUUGGACACCACGAUGGAACCUCCCAUGUUCUGGCAAGUGCAGCUCUGGUGACUUUCUCUGCAACUGUAGACAGAAAGCAAAUACCGUGGACUCAAGUUGUGACCGGCCUGACACACGGACAACUUGGGUUAAUUAGGUUAAUGGAAGAGUCGUCUGCGUCUUGUUAUCUAUAGCGUGUACCCAGAUGACACAGUGCCUGCGUGGUGGGGUGAGGUGACGGAAUGACGAAGGUGAGGUCAGCAGCCAAUCUGAGAAGCAAGAUGGCUAAGUGACUGCCGGUCAGGAGCGUAUGCCAGUGGGGACGCCGGACAGAGGGCUCUGACACUCACAUCCUGACCUGUCCAGGGCCUGCUUUUCCUGACAGUGAGAUGAGUGGAAGUGGGUAUUUAUUUCCAGGCUGAAUCCCGGGGCAGCAAGGGCCAGUCAGCUGAUCCCCUGAGGUCCUGGGCCUACCCAGCACUCAGCCCCCAGCAAGUAUGGUCUACGUGGGAGCUGCCAGGAUGACAACGCCCAGGUUCACAGAUGUGCCGCCGACAGGGCCAAGCGACAUUCUGCACCACCGCUGCCCUGCCCUGCUUUUCUGUUACCAGAGACAGGAUGGGCCCUUGUGAUGGCUCUGAGCUGGAGGCCCAGGCCAGCCUGACAUGUUAUUCAUGCAUCUGUUUGGCCUUCACCUUGCUACUUUGAGUCUUUUCUAAGUUAGAUAGAAUACAUUUGAGGGGUGAUCUCUGCAAACCUCAGCCUUCUGUCAAAGCCCAGAAACAGCUGUUUCUUGGACCAGUUCCACCCCCUUCUGCACCCCAUGCCAUCUUCAGAGAGGCAGCAACCAUGUCUCACUGGGCUGGCAGCCUCUCUGGAUGGCCCCACGUUCCGUGGCCUCCAAGUGGCUGGAAGUCCUCAAGGGCACAGCAGAGAGGAGGAGUCCAGAGAAAGGGACCAGCAGCCCAGGCAGUGGCCACCUUAGGAAGCUCAAGUUCAAGGGCAUCCAGGACAGGGAGCUGUGACCUUGGACUGCUGUAAGCCUGUUACGUCCACACCACCGGGGAAGGAGCCUGAGAAUGGUCCCCCCAGUCUGUCUGCUUAAGUCCAUUUUGGAGUGAGGCAGGUUGGACUUGGAGGCAGUGUAAUCCUCGUCAGCCCAGGUGCUCCGUCCUGGCAGUGACUGUAUCAGCUUCCUGGGGCUGCUGUGACAAGCUGCCUCACCUCCCAGUGCCAGGGCCGGAAGC